GUUAAUUGCCUCCCUGUUUAUCGAGUGUACCUUGUUGAAAUAAAACCACAGAUAUACAACCCUUCACUUAUAUGAUCCCUAUCUGGAAGGUGACUAUUGGCAUCUUUCAAAAAGAUUUAAUAUAAGUAGAUUGGAAACUCCCCUGGGGUAUGUAAAUUAACCCCAUAUGACUCAUCUAAGUUUCAUUCAUUUAGGAAACAAUACUUUAUUAUAUGUUCACUUUGUGUUAAUGCAUUUCCAAGCUCAGAAGCUAUACUGUGGAUCAAGACAUGAUUCCUGCUUUGAAGGAGUUUAUAGACUAGUGGCGGGGGGGACACAGAUCAAAAAGAAGUAUGCAAUGUGAAAGUACUAAAAAGGGGGUGUGGGAAAAGACAUGACCCAAACCAUGAGUGUAAAGGACGUCUUCUCCAAGAAAGACACGUGUGGGCUGAGGUUUGGGGCUUAAGGAGCAAUCAAGCAACAGGGAUAGAGCAAGGGAGUAUAUUUCCAGCUGAAAAAGCGGCAUAUGCAAAAGCCUGAGGGUGAAGUCAGGGUGCCACCCAAAGAAGUAAAAGACACGGAGAACUUGACAUUCACACAGAAGGAGGAGAAAGUAGAGGCUGGAAAGCUGUGCUGGGACGAAGACCUUUGGGCACUAAGGAGCCACUGGUACAAACCAGAGAAGGACACGAAGAGACUUACUCUUUGAAAUAUUCCUCAGAAUGCUACAGAUACUCCAAGUGAUAAAAACUUGUUACCGGUGGAGAUAUGGGGUGGGAAUGGACCCGUGAGGGAGAAGUAGGAGUCGAGAGUGACUUCCAGAUUGCGGGCUUGGGUGACUGGGUGGGUGGUGGGCAUGAGCAACACAGGAAGAGGAGCAGAGACCAUGGGAGUGAGGGUUCGUUCAUUGCUUACGGUGAUGACGUAUGGGACAGCCCAGAGGAGCUAGGCAGAGAACUGGAUUUAUGGGUUUGGAGCUCAGGAGAAGAGUCUGGGUUGGAGAUAAGAUUUUUACAACCACUUAUUUAUAUGGAGUUGUAAAUUCCAUAAAACAGUGGCGAGAUAGCUAUCAGAACGUCUUGGAGGAAUCCUUAGCACCUCUUCUCAGAGUCUGGUAUCUGCUUCAAUGCCCCUCAGGAGUCACUUUUCUCUGUUUCUUUCUCCCUCAGUUUCCACUGUGAAGCCACUGUCCUGUGAAGUCCCUUGUAUCUGAGGAGUUCUACAGCUGUGUUUGGGCAGAAGAAAGGCAGUUGAGGUGGUGAGAAGGGACGUGACUUCUAGAGGGGACAGAGAAAAGAAGAGGAGCAAAACCCAGAAGACCCCACUCCUUUCAGAUCCCUGCAUGACAUUUUGGUGGCACUCCAACUGUAUACAGGAGCUUUCUUGUCAGCCAAGUGUCCAUGGCGGAUCACAUUGGACCUGCAUGGGUACAGAUCCUGACCUGAAGCCAGGUCAUGUUCACCACCUUCCUGAGGAGUGCAUUGACAACAGGAUAAAGAAUCAUUCUCCACCAGGGUACCACAGAUGGGUGGCUUCAACAACAAUCCAUGCUUUCACCGUCCCAGAGGCUGGAAGUCUGAGAUCUAAGGCUUCUCUCUUCAGCGAGUAGAUGGUCAUCCUCUCCCUGUCUUUAUGUCAUCCUCCCCUGAAUGUGUGUGUCCUAAUUUCCUCUUCAUAUGAGGACACCGGCGUGUUAUCCUAGGGGUCCCCGAGUGAACUUGUUUUACUUUAAGAAGCUCUUUAAAGGCUCCAUCUCCAAAUGCGAACACACUUGAAGUACUGGGGGUUAUACCUUUAAUCUAUAAAUUUUGGAGGGACCGAAUUCAGCUCCAAACACUCCCCAUUCUCUAUCAGUCUCAAAUCUAGCUUUCCUGGUCUCUCUCUGGCCUGUGUAUUUGAGAUCUAAGCAUGCUGGGCCUCCGAGCCCCCCGAGCUGUGACAGUAAUGCUCACGUACACAUUGUCCCUUCCACGGAGCCUCAUGGUCAUGGCAAUGUGGAGGUGAUCACACCUCAUUUUCUUCUCUUCACGUCGUUUGUACCCAGCUGUCAUAAUCGUCAGCAGUAAUAUUUUUGGUCAGAGUAGCUGAAGACACAGGUGGAACCAUUUCUUGCUGAAAUGAAAAGGCAUUCAGAGAUGGCCGUGGCCUUCCAGGACCAAGAUCACGGAGCUGCUUCCCGGGGGGAUGCCUUGUCCUGGAUGCAGAAGCUGCUUUUCCCACAUGGAGCCCACAGAAGGCCAGGACCCAGGUGGUGUGUGUGUGCUUGGAGGUGGCGCUGCAGGGGGAGCAGCGUGUCCGUUGUGCCCCAAGGAACCACAGCUGCGUUCUCAGAUGAGAGGAAGCCCACACCAGGAAGCAGCCCAGCAUCCCAGAAAGGGCUUCCGAAUGAGGCGGAAGUAGGAUGGACACUGACCCCACCAGUCACGAGUGAUAAUCUUCUGCAAAGCGUUCAACCUCUCUGGACCCCAGUUUCCUUAUCUGAAAAACAGGGGGCGGGCCCAUACCUCACAGAGCUGUUGUAGGGGCCGGUAGGACCUAGCUCUGUGCCUGGACAAUGGCAGGGACCCCAUAUGGUGCUGACUGAAUGGGGAAUGGCCCCAAGCUGGGAAGAUAGGAAGGGCCCCUUGGAAACUCUUGGGGGAUGCUGACAUCUCAUGGAGUGGUUGAAUAACGCCAGUCUGAAGACGACUCAGAAUUUUCUUUUCCUUUAAGCUACCCCCUAUGUGUGUAUACUUGUGCAUGUGUGCACACACACGUGGAGACUCAAGGUGCAGAUGAGGAGGCACCAUUCACAGGCUGUGGACACACACGUGUGAAUACAGAACACACCUAUCCAUGCACAGAGGAACUCUUAUGGCCACAGGCUGUCCCUUCACUGCAGGUACAUACACAUACACAAGUGUACACACAUAAACACACACCCUCCCAGUCCUAGCUCACACUGACCGUCUCCCUCUCCAGAACAAGAUUCUGGAUUCACCACAAUAGGGUCCCCAGUCGCUGGUCUCGUUUCCCCCUUCCACAUAACUAAAAUUAAAUACCAAGAGCGGGAAAACCCAAGGCAAGAAUAGGAAGCCACACAUACAGAUUGCAAUCACCACACAAUGUUGCUGGUUGAAAGAAAUGGAUGUUGAGCAUUGAAUGUUAAAAAUUGUGUUGAAUUAGAUAAGAAAAUCCCGUGUAGACUUUGUUAAUGAUUCAUAAUCAGCUAAUAAGCUCAUCUUGAGGAGAAUAAUGAUCCACGGACCUGUUGGCUCGUUUAUCACUGUGUUUUACAACAUUGGCAAAGAAACUAAUUAAAUCCCCGCAUCAUUACAGAGAAUCCCUUUUAAUAGAGAUACAAUGAUGCACUAGAGGCUACAGAUUACACUGCAAAUUGUACCAGGAGAUUUUGGACAGCGGGUUUUAAUUAACAUGUGAGCCAGAAGCAGCUCGUUUAAAUAAUAACCAGCGCUGGAACCAUCUGUAAGUCGGAGCCAGGCGGUAGGGUAGGAGGAGGUGGGGACUGAGGCCUGGGAGGUGAGGAGGGCGUUGGCUGGGCUCAGGGAGUGUUUCAGAGUUGGGGCUCCCAGGGAAACAGGAGGAACUGAGGCAGGACCCAACUCCAGAAGCGGGGUGGGGAGUCAGGAGCUGGAGGAGCACGUCAGGAUCCAGAAGCAGAGCAGGUGAAGUGACACAGCUGUCACCAGGGAAGCUGGGAGCCGGGUCCGUUCUGACGAAAGUGACAAAGCCAGGUGGACUCUAGAUAAGUGACCCCAAUUUCGAUUUAGAAAGACGGUGCUGUGAAUUAACACCUCCCGUGGGCCCCUGUCUGGAGUGGAUUAGACUGGAGUGGGCACGCUGGCACGUUCAGUAAGUUGCCGGGACCUGCUGUAGGGGGGGACGGGUGGGUGACCCGAGAAGGAGCCAGCACUCUAACAUCUGCUGGGGACCCGGGAUGCCUUGGGUAACUGGAGAUUUUCAUCAUCAUCUUGGUCCAGUUUUCAAGGGGUACCUUUGGCCCAUUGUCCAGCAGACAGAAGGGCCAGCAGGCAGGUGGCUGAAGAAUGAGCAGGGGACUGUUGGCCACGAGUCACAUGUGCAUCCUUGGAAAGGCGUUCUGGGCACACAGAGGGCCAACCUUAUGCCUUGAAGGCAAAUACCCAUCCCUGUGCUUCUGCGAGACUGAACUUCCUAAGGACACAGGCCUGUCUGGGGACCUCUGGGGUGGCACAGCAACUGCUCUGCCUUAGCUUGAGCUGCCUGUCAUUAAUUUUCCUGGCAGUCACAGAGUCUGGGCACUUAUCUGUCCCUUCCUCAGGAACCAGGCUUUCCUUCCCUGGCUGAGGCUCAACACAGAGGUGGCCGGUGCCACAGGCGGCAUCAUGGCCUUCCAAGAGGCUGUUCUGACAGUUAUGGGGAAGAUCAAGUGUCUGUGCAGGCAAGAGGUGGGAAGGAGUUCUCUCCAAGUUCACAUCCCUCUCUCAGAGAAAAUGAGCUGAAGGCUUCUUCCACUGCGGCUUGUGUAUUAUUAUUUUUUUUUAAAGAUCAGCAGCAAAAUGAUUCAUAAAACCUUGGAAACGGAUUUAGUGUAAAGCCUCAAAGAACAAUAGCUCAUUGUGCACUGAGACUCCCACCUGAUGUUCUGCCAAAGGCGUGAUACAGGCUCUCUCGAGAUGGAGCUGCACCCAACAGUCACUUCCCAGCCUGCUCUCUUCCUGAGCUCCCAUGGCAACAUGGAGGGGAUCAGCCCCACACUCUGCUAGCAUCACCGGGUGGUACCCACCCCUUGUGCCUGGCCUCGGGACCACCCCAGGGAUGAGAUGCUAUUUGUAUGUUGGAGGUAUCCGCCAAUAUCACGCACCAGGCUUCCCUAGCCAAACUCACCUCCGCCAUACAUGCCCACAGGGACAUGCACGGCACACGCAUGUUAAUCACCCUCUUCAUCUCUUCACCCUUGAAGCUGAGACUUCUAGCCACCGGGUUCCCCUCCUCCUCUCUUAUCCCCAUUGGAUUCUGUGGUCCCAUGUCCCACAACCUUCCCCUCUUCUCUAUCUCCUUAUACUUAGUUGGGUUUUUAAUCCUAGGGUUAUGGAAUAAUACAGUCAGAUUGAGAGGAAGUCAGAUGCCGUGGAGUUCAACAACCUCCCAUUAGAGAUGAGGAAGUGGGGGUGCCCUCAGAGAAGGACUUGUUAUCGUGCAUGUCACAGUGGGGAGCAGGACCAAGUGCUUGGGUUUGCUUCCUUCCAGGUAGGCAUGUUCCACGGUGUAAAGAGGUAGUCUCUUGUCCCCCUUUGAGCUGCUUCUUUGGGACUCUCAAUGAAACCAGCACAAUUGCUUCCUAUCUGGUCUCUGCUACGUGUCCAACUUCCUCUGGCUCCUGCCGUGAUCCUGUCACCUGCCUGUUCUGCAGCUGUCAGAAACUCUGACAUCACCUGUGUAGUGAGUCAGGUCAGAGGACUUCAGAGCUGGGAGGGACUUUUGAGGUUAGAUGGUCCCACCUGUUCAUUUUAAUAAAGGAGGAAACUGAGGCUCUAGGGGAUCCAGGAAGUGGAUGGACCCAGAAGUCCCACUGUUGGGAAGAUUAAUAAAAUGCUUGUCCCAGAAACAGGCUCUGUGGCAUCAUUACAAAAGCUGCUGCUGGCUUGCUGAGUAGAGGCAGGCAGGUGGCUGAGAUCCAGGCUGGACCCAGGCAGUGGCAGGAGGCAGGCCAUGCCCUUGUUGGGCGGCUGCAGGUGAGCAUCCCCUCUGUUCUCUCUAGCAGGGCCCAGGGGUGACCGAAAUUAUCGACAGCCUGGUCUCCACUUUGCAGUGCAGGCAGGAAGUUGGUGGCAGUUGGGACUCUGAAGUCAGCCAGAACUGGGUUCCAAUCCCAACCCUACCCUUCAUUCAGCCCGGCAAACCGCUACGGUCAGAGCCGUGCCGCAGCUGGCUUAGGAGGCCUGCUGGUUAUCUUUUAGGCACUUUGUGAACCAGUCGUUAAACAGCCAUUAUUAAAGAUUCACUUAUAUAAACUUAUAAUUAACUAAACCAUGUUUACAACAAAGCUAAUCAACACUAAGAACCACAUCAUUCUCUAAUUAUUUUAUUACCUGUACUCUGGAGGCUGUUUCUGUGUAGAGGAAAUACUAUGUAGUGUUAUAUUGUGUGGUACCCCUUAGUUCUUCUCCGCUCUGCAGGCAGGGACAGCACCUCAAUGGCUUGACGUCAGCCACGGUGGAAAUAUUUACACUAUGGAAAUCAGCAAACUCUUCAGAUCUAGGCAAACUUUUUUUUUUUUUUUUUUUUUUGAGAGCCUGUGUUUAGCAGUUCCUGGCACGCCCUUGUUUGUAUUCAUUUAUUUAUUUAUUUAUUUAUUUUGCAUUUCCAUGAGGAAGGGAUUCUUAUUUUGCAGAGAAGGAAACUGAGCCUUAGAGUGUGAAAUGACAUCUCCAAGUCACACAAUUGGUGGGUCUGAGAGCCAGGGACUAAAUUCACUCAUGUCUUUUAUUCCCAAGACCAGUGUUUUUUUGUUUUGUUGGGUUUCCUGCUUCUAAUUUAACUUUUACCUUUAGCAGUGUGCGGUGGCAAUGCUGUUCCCCUCCAGCCUCGGCAGAUGGGAGGCCUUCACUGGGUUUCCUGCUGUGCAGGAACGGUGCAGCCGUAAAGUCCAUAGGUGGUUGCAGAUCUAAGGGUGGCUUUGUGGAGAGACUCUCUAGGAAGCCGUGUGCCCUGUGAGAGGGGCACCUGGCUUCCAGGGAAGAAAGGCCUGGAAUGAAAGCCCCGCUGCCUGCUGCUACCUGGCUGCCGACGCUUCAGCAACCACCCAGAGCCUAGGGUUUCUCAUCUCCACAGUAGAGAUGAUAACACCGCACGUGGCUGGUAAGAGAACUAGCAGCAUCCCCUCAUUGCUGGAUUGAAUGCGUUCAUGGCCCAUUGGAAGCACCAAGAAAAGUCCGACUUCCCUCCCAAGACUGGCCAGGGCGCUGGGGAAAGCCAAGGUGGAUUGGAGUGAGCAUCCAGGGGCAGAUUCACUCACAGAUGUGCCACGAGAACGCCCCAAGCCUAAGGACGAGCAAACACCAAUUCCUCGAGGUGGGAAAGAGCUGGUCAUGCUGGGCAGCAGCAAGAGGCCCGGUGUGCCUGGGCCUAGGGUCAAGGUCGAGUACAGUGAUUUUUAAGGACAUCUUUAGCAAAACCUCUUAACUCACUAAGGCUUUGUGGAAUUGGAUUACCUUGCUUCUAGAAGGGGUUUCUGUGGAUCAGGAACUUGGGAAGGGCUAGGCAGAGUGAGCUGGCUCAGGAUCUCUGAUGGAGUUGGAGUCGUUGUGCUUGGAGCUGGCCUAGUGGAGGGCUGGGCAGCUGGAGACUGGCGGAGCAGCUCUUUCUUCCUGAACAUGUGUCCAAGGACCUCUCUACAGGGUGUCUCAGACCUUCCACAAGACCCAGCGGAACCUCCCAGGCGCCUGCUCUGAGUCCCAAUCACCUGCUCUGAGUCCUUGAAGAUGAAGAUAGGAAGGACCUAGUUCCACCCUUGCAUGGUGUGGCAGGGGGUGGCACACAAAGCCAGUGGAUUAAAGGACAGGCAGCCUGGCAAGUGUUACCGGAGCAGGAGGCCUCAAGGGAAGAGGGUGGGAAUGGCUCCUGCAGCCUGGAGGAAUCACAGGGGCCCAAGGGAGAAGGAGCAUUUGUGCCGAUUCUUAGAGAAUGAGGACCUCCGUAAUCGGAGAUGCACCCUCUGAAGAGGGGGGUGCAGCCAGGGAAAGGGAACGGCCUGGAGGAGGGAGACAGCAUGAAGGGCACAGGUGAGCUCUCGGUGGCAUGCCUUAAAUGGCAGCCGAGACACUGGCUGCUUUGAAGGCAAUGGGGGCGGGGCAUUGCCAGCUUGGGGGCAGGGAGUGGAAUGUCCAAGUUGUGCCUUGGGAUGUCAGUUCUGGCGGCAGCGUAAUGCACGGACGAGACGACAGCCCUUUUGAGAACAGCUGUUGUACAUCUUUUGAGACCAGCUGAAGUCCUGGACAAGGAUGGGGCCGGGAAGAUCCGGUGGCCUGCCACCCUACUGUGCGGCAUCCAGGACCCACAAGCCCCUUCCUGGUCUCUGCCUCCAGAAGGCCUGCCCCCCGCUCAGGCUGUGCUGACAUGCAGUGUCCUCACGCUGCCCACUCUCUGUUAGAACAUCUCCCUCUGAACCUCCAAGGCUCUCGGCCGAGUGCCCGCUGUGUUUGAGCCAUGCAUAGUUGUCACGAUGGUCCGGGUUAGAAGCUCUGUGAGGACAGGAAAGCUGUCACAUAUAUUUCUGUGGCUCUUCCAGCAUGCAGUGCAGACCUUUCCUAGCAGAGAGGAAAGGUGAGACAGCAAAGCCCAGAGCAGCAGAAGCAUUUUAUGGUAAUGCCCAAGAAACUCCAGAGCUGGCAUGAAUUUGUCUAGGGGACCUUUUUUUUGUUGUUGUUUUUGGUACUAGAAAUUUAAUCCAGGGGCUUUUUGCCACUGAGUCACAUUUCCAUCCUUUUUGUAUUUUUUAUUUUGAAACAGGGUCUUACUAAGUUGCUUAGGGGCUCACCACAUGCUGUGGUUGAACCUGCCAUCCUCCUGCCUCAGCCUCCCACGUUGCUGGGAUUACAGGCGUGCGCCACCAUGCCUGGCUGCCCAGAGGAUCUUAUGUGACCAGAGAAAAUCAGACUUAAAGACUCUUCCUAAGCCUGCAGUGUGAGCAGGACUUGGAGGCUGGGAGAGUCCAGGAGAGGAGAAAAGCUGGAGGGCCUACAACAUAGAGGGCAGUAGGCAGGAGGCAGAGGCGUGUGUGGUCAGCCCUGGGGGAUAGCAAAGGCCUCUCCACGUGACAGAGUCCACCCAAGGAGCAGGGCUGCCCUCGAGGGUAGGAAGCUGAGGGUGUGCAGCUGGCCAGUGACUGGAUGGAGGGAGAAAUACCAGGAGGUGAUUCGCCCACCCGUCUAAGCCUUUAAUCAGCCUCAAAGAAGACGGAUCUGGGAUUUCCGGCUCUGCCCAUUCGGUGCCAGGACCCCCGAGUCGAUUCUAUAGUCACGUGGAGCGCGCCUCUCGUGUUAUCCCCCCGACCAGUGUCUACCUCAAACUGAGGCUGGAGACUUUCAGAAUGAAGGGGAAAAAGGCCCCUCAUACAAGGGAGUGGUGCACCAGCCCAAGAGAAGAGGAGCGGGAACCACACGUAAGUAGAGGAUCCCCAGAGCCUGAGUGGCCCAAGAGAAAGAAAACCCAGGGCUGAAUUUGUCUUCACGUCCACAUCCAGGUGUGAGCUUUUACUGGUUUCUUUUGAAGAAGACACAGAGAUUAGUUAUCAAAACACACCAUAUGUGUAUGUGUGUGUGCACAGAUAUAUAAAUAUACAUAUGUGUAUAUAUGUAUAUACACACAUAUAUACACACAUUUGGUAUAUAUUUGAUAUAUGUGAAUAUAUAGACACAUAUAUAAUUUCAUUGAGGUAAUAAACUACAUGCAAUAAAAUGAAACAAUUUGAGACUUUACACAUGUAUAUGCCUGUGUUGCCACCACACCAAUCAAUAUAUAGAACACUUCCAUCUCCUUCCAAAAUAUCUUUAUACUCCUUCCAAAUCAAGUCUCACCGCCCAAUUUUUCCUCUCUAGCAACUACUGAUGUUAUUUCUCUCAUUACAGAUUAGUUUCUUUCAUCCUACAACAUUACACAUGUGAAUUCAUAGAGCAGGUUUGUGUGUGUCUUUUUUCUCCAAGUUAGAGCAUGUAACAUGUAAAAUGGUAGUUCUCAUUUUCAUUGCUGUGUAGUAUUCCACAGUGUGGAUGUAUCAUCAUUUUCCUAUUUUCCCAUUUGUUGAUGGACAUUCAGAUUGUGGCCAGUUUUAUGCUAUCUUCAAUAAAACUGCUAUGGAUAUUUAUGUACAAGUCCUUCUGUAACCAUAUAUUUUUUUUGGGUAAAUACCUAGACAUUACUGGAUCAUAAAAUAAGUAUAAUGUUUAAUUUGUAAGAAAUUGUGUAACUGUUUUCUAAAGUGGUCAAACAAUUUUAUACCUUCCAUUAGUAAUGUAUGAGAGUUAUAGUUGCUUCCAACACUCACUAACAAUUGCUAUUGUCAGUCUUUUUUUUUUUUUCCCUCAUUAAACUUUUGUUUUAAUGGGUCUCAAAAUUCUGUGACAGAUUUUUGGUCAAGUUGUUUCCAUUAAAAAGAGCUGCUUUUAAAAAAGUAAUAACUUAAAACUGCCAUGCACCAAAAACAAAGUGUCCACAAAACAUUUCCCUUUCUUCUGAAGGUUUUGCGAUGCACUGUUACCCAUUGACCAGUCUUUUACUAUUAAACUUAAAUGGCCGAUGGAGACAAACAGUUCUGAGACCGUUCUUCCACCACUGAUUAAGACUGGGGUGGCAGGUGUUAGGGGUAAUAGUCAUUUAACCUUCUGAGCUUUCUGGGCAGACUUGGUGACCUUGCCAGCUCCAGCAGCCUUCUUGACCACUGCUUUGAUGACAUCCACAGCAGUUGUCUGUCUCAUAUCACGAACAGCAAAAAAAAAAAAAAAAAAAGUAAGAAGGAAAGAAAAAGGAAUGUUCAUGAAUUUGCAGGUCAUCCUUGGACAGGGGCCAUGCUAAUAUUCUCCGUAUUGUUCCAGUUUUAGCGUGUGUGCUGACGAACUGAGCCCUUUUUAAAAUCCCAGCCAUUGUAGUGACUGUGAGUGGAACUUCAGUGGGGUUUUAAUUUCCAUUUCCUUGGUGACUCAUGCUGUUGAGCUUGGUUUUGUAUGUUCAUUGGCCAUAUGUAUAUUUUUGUCUGGGAAAUGUCUGAUCAAAUAUUUUGCCCAUUUUAAAACUGAUUUGUUUGUCUUCUUACUGAAUCAUAAGUGUCCUUUGUAUAUUCCGGAUACAAGUCCAUUAGUAAGUUGGUUGUAUCUUUUUAUAGCUUGUAGUCUCAGGGCCUACUUUUUGGUCUAAGAUUCAUUCAAGUUAAUUUUUCUAUAUGGUGUGAGGUAGGGGUUGAGGUUUACAUUUUUUCCCACAUGGAUUCCCAGUCAUUCCAUCAGCAUUUGUUGAAAAGACCAUCCUUUUCCACAUUCAACCACCUUAGCGCAUUCCUCAAAAAUCAAUUGGAUAUAUAUGUAUAUAUAUCUUGACUCUGUUAUGUUCCAUUGACUUCUCUGUGUAUCAUUAUGCAAAUACCACAUUAUCUUGAUUACUAUUAGUUUUAUAAUAAGGCUGGAAAUCAGGUAGUUUGAAGUCCUCCAACUUUAGAACACCACACUAUACAUCAUUUGUGAUUGCUGGAAAUAAAUGUGCUUGGAUUAAAUGUAUAAUAAAUUGUAUACAUUA